CAGUCGACGGGAAUCUUCGGAUUCUAGUGGCGGACGGGUGAGUAACGCGUAAGAAUCUAACUUCAGGACGGGGACAACAGUUGGAAACGACUGCUAAUACCCGAUGUGCCGCGAGGUGAAACCUAAUUGGCCUGAAGAAGAGCUUGCGUCUGAUUAGCUAGUUGGUGGGGUAAAGGCCUACCAAGGCGACGAUCAGUAGCUGGUCUGAGAGGAUGAGCAGCCACACUGGGACUGAGACACGGCCCAGACUCCUACGGGAGGCAGCAGUGGGGAAUUUUCCGCAAUGGGCGAAAGCCUGACGGAGCAACGCCGCGUGAGGGAGGAAGGUCUUUGGAUUGUAAACCUCUUUUCUCAAGGAAGAAGUUCUGACGGUACUUGAGGAAUCAGCCUCGGCUAACUCCGUGCCAGCAGCCGCGGUAAUACGGGGGAGGCAAGCGUUAUCCGGAAUUAUUGGGCGUAAAGCGUCCGCAGGUGGUCAGCCAAGUCUGCUGUCAAAUCAGGUUGCUUAACGACCUAAAGGCGGUGGAAACUGGCAGACUAGAGAGCAGUAGGGGUAGCAGGAAUUCCCAGUGUAGCGGUGAAAUGCGUAGAGAUUGAGAAGAACAUCGGUGGCGAAAGCGUGCUACUGGGCUGUAUCUGACACUCAGGGACGAAAGCUAGGGGAGCGAAAGGGAUUAGAUACCCCUGUAGUCCUAGCCGUAAACGAUGGAUACUAGGCGUGGCUUGUAUCGACCCGAGCCGUGCCGAAGCUAACGCGUUAAGUAUCCCGCCUGGGGAGUACGCACGCAAGUGUGAAACUCACAGGAAUUGACGG
rnacentral:rRNA from 1 species